GCGCUUGCGGCGGCUACCUGCAGUCGAGCGGUAAAGAUAGUAUCUUGCUACUCUGCUGACGAGCGGCGGACGGGUGAGUAAUGCUUGGGAAUGUACCUUAUGGUGGGGGACAACAGUUGGAAACGACUGCUAAUACCGCAUAAUGUCUUCGGACCAAAGCGGGGGACCUUCGGGCCUCGCGCCAUAAGAUCAGCCCAAGUGGGAUUAGCUAGUUGGUGAGGUAAUGGCUCACCAAGGCGACGAUCCCUAGCUGGUUUGAGAGGAUGAUCAGCCACACUGGGACUGAGACACGGCCCAUACUCCUACGGGAGGCAGCAGUGGGGAAUAUUGCACAAUGGGCGCAAGCCUGAUGCAGCCAUGCCGCGUGUGUGAAGAAGGCCUUCGGGUUGUAAAGCACUUUCAGUAAGGAGGAAAGGUUGGAUGUUAAUAUCAUUCAGCUGUGACGUUACUUACAGAAGAAGCACCGGCUAACUCCGUGCCAGCAGCCGCGGUAAUACGGAGGGUGCGAGCGUUAAUCGGAAUUACUGGGCGUAAAGCGUACGCAAGCGGUUUGUUAAGCGAGAUGUGAAAGCCCCGGGCUCAACCUGGGAACUGCAUUUCGAACUGGCAAACUAGAGUGUGAUAGAGGGUGGUAGAAUUUCAGGUGUAACGGUGAAAUGCGUAGAGAUCUGAAGGAAUACCGAUGGCGAAGGCAGCCACCUGGGUCAACACUGACGCUCAUGUACGAAAGCGUGGGGAGCAAACAGGAUUAGAUACCCUGGUAGUCAA
rnacentral:rRNA from 1 species